rnacentral:lncRNA from 1 species
UUCUAUCGAUAACAAUUAAAUUUAUUUUCGCUGAGACAUAAAUUGUACAUUGUUUCCAAACAAAUGAAAGUUUGCUACCAAAGAUAGAGGGAUAUUCUUCCAUACAAUAAAAGCCUAAUACAGUUACAGCAACAAAAAUUUAUUUAGUUACAACAAAAAGUGUUACAAGGUCCAUGUCUAAGAUGGCUGGGAAGCAAGGUUAUUGUUUUGGGCAGCAGCGAAAUACUGCCAAAUGAAAAUUGACGCCAUCGCGAUGGCAGAAAACAGCAAGGACAAUGUUGCCAGCACGUAACCGCGAUAUCGUGAUAUCCUGGUCGGUUUGAUGGUGCGGAAGCUGGAGCACACAAAUUACGCCGAAAGCACAUCCCCGGGGAGGACCUUCAUCACUAUCUCCGCCCAUGUCUCCAGCACCUCCUUUGCGCCUUCAAAUCGGCGCCGCUCACAUUGUGGGGAUAGGUCAAUCCAAGGCGUUUCAGAAACGAAUGAUGCAUGAUUGGCAUCAUGUGGCACAAAACAUCUGUAGAAGCACACAUGAGAAAACGAGAUAAGGUAUAUAUGAAUCUAUCGAAACAAAAAUAAUUGGCAGUGGAAGCAUAGAAAAAUGAAAUAAGGCUUACACGAAGCAACAAUUUGAUCUACCAGAACAUACAUGAUAGGUAGGGGAAGCAUGGAAAACUGGGAUAAAAAAAGCAUUGCUAUCGGAACAUAUGUGAAACGUAGAAGUAGAAGCCAUAGCUUACACAGAGUCGUGAUUUCAUCAAUCAAAACAUACAUGAUAGGCAAUGGAAUCAUAUAAAAUUGACAUGAAGGAAAAAAUCAAGAGUAUAGGAAAAUACUCAAAAUUAGGAAGCACGGUUGACACAAACCAAUGAAUUGAUCUGUCAGAACAUACACUGAGUUGUGUUUCUAUUGAAAUGGUGUUGGCAAUGACAACUAUAGAAACACAAACAAAAAAUAGAUAUGGGGACUAUGGAAGCAAACUACCUAUACCAAAUAAUAAUACAUAAUAUAAUAUGGGGCAAGGAAUAUUAAAAUAGUGAUAACAAUGACAGCAACAACUUUUGUAAAAAAGGAUGAAAUAUGGAAGCAUUCUAUCUAAAACUAAGAGGAGCAUAUGAAGUAUAAUUUGGAAGCCCCAUCAGUGUGAAGCAUCAAGUAUGGAAGCAUUCUAUGUAAACUAGAGGAGCAUAUGAAAUACAAUUUGGAAGCCCCAUCAUUAUGAAGCAUGAAAAUAUGCUAUCUCAAUCUGAGUCAUCUUAAUUUGAAGCAUAGAAAAUUGAAUACAUGAAUUAACUAAGAUUGCCACCAACAUGGGGAUGCAUGUGUCACCUACAUACCAAAUUCACAGAAAUAUUGGUUGAACUAUGGAUGCUAACUUUGUAAACUAAAGAAGUAUAUGUGGUAUUAUUUCAGAAGGUCCAUUAGUAGGAAGCUUGAAAAGAGCGAUAUCUCAACACAAGUCAUCUUAAUAGGAAGCAUAUUUGUCACGUUCAUGUAAAUUUCACAAAUAUUUCAUUUAUGAUUUGGUGAUCCAGUACACAAAGGACAGAACAAAAUCGGACCCAAUAAAAAGGAAUUGCUCAAGAUGUGCACACAAGGAUAUGAAUUGAUACUCAGAACAUAAAACAAGAAAAAAAAUCAACAAGUAUUGGAUCAACAUGAGAGAGGACUCAAUACCUAGAUCAUACGAGGACAGUGCCUUAGGGGGGAUGGAGACGACUCUACAGUGGUCGACAUGUGGUGGCUUCGUUUCCCAACCGAGACGGCCCUCCGGCGUGGUGGACUGGAGGUACCGGGCCCAAAGCUGGCGAAGAUGACCAGGAGGACAAGGGGAUUGUGAGCUUGUCUGUGCCAAAUCGUGGAUAAUGACAGCCACAAUCACAAGAUGAUACAACACACCAUCGUGGAUAAGAAUGUAGGAAGCAUGAAAAAUAGCAAAUAAAGAUGCAUGUAUUGUGCCGGCCACAUACUAACUGAACGAAUUGCAAGUAAAUAUCAGGAUGGCAUGGAAGCAUUUUUCUAAAGGAUCGUAGAAAAUGAGUAUACAAUGUAGAAGCACAAAAAUAUGAGUCGUAGGCACAGAAGCAUUUUUCUAAACUACCGUAGCAAAACGAGAACAAUGUAGAAGCACAAAGCUAUGCAGCUGGCUAUUAGUGCAAAGGGUGCACUAUUAGUGUCUGGUGGAAGCAUUAAAUUUUGAAAAAUGUAACAAAAACAAUAUGCCGCUAACUAUGGUCCAUGGAUGCAUAUUUUUGGAAGCACUUUAUACAGGAAGCAACGAAACAAUGUUUUCCUCAACAUAUUUCACCAUCAUUGGAAACACUACAUAUUGAAAACUAAUUAACUAAGGAAUAGCCACGAAUGCCUGCCUACAUAUGUAUGGUUUAUCUAAUUAUCUAAAAAGCUCGACUUGCAAAAGGAUUGAUGAUAAAGGAUCUAAAACAUCAGCGAACAAUACUAGGCAGCCAAUGAACAUACAAACCCAGUGAGUACUUGGCUGUGGAUGAAAUAUAAAUAAAAUCAAACAUUUACAGAAAUUACAAAUGGAAUCAUCAAAAAGGAGCUGGUAGAUGCAGUACAAUACCUUCGAUUUCAAGAUGGGGUGGGGUGGGAUUUUCCAAUCCACAUCAGGUUCUCCGACCGGCCGGUGCUACUCCGGCAACCAAUUCAGCCGAUGGAGCGGGGUUGGCCGGUGGGGUGACCAUCCUGCUCGGCGACAAAGAGAGUAUGAGGCUGUCCGAGGCGGAGGUGGGGUGGAGGGGAGCGAUCUGGGCGAUGUGGGUGGAGGGCGGAGGCUAGCGCGUCUCUCGAUUGAUUGGAACGAGAGGGAUUAGGGAUAGGAUUUUGGGCGGGGGUUGCGGCAGCGUGGUUAGCGUCUGCUGCUGUUUUUUUUUUCUUUAAUAGAAAGCACAAUUUGUGAGGCGUUAGAUUUCAGAUGAAUCGAC